rnacentral:rRNA from 1 species
AUGGAAGGGCCAUCGCUCAACGGAUAAAAGCUACCCCGGGGAUAACAGGCUUAUCUCCCCCAAGAGUCCACAUCGACGGGGAGGUUUGGCACCUCGAUGUCGGCUCAUCGCAUCCUGGGGCUGUAGUCGGUCCCAAGGGUUGGGCUGUUCGCCCAUUAAAGCGGUACGCGAGCUGGGUUCAGAACGUCGUGAGACAGUUCGGUCCCUAUCCGUCGUGGGCGCAGGAAAUUUGAGAGGAGCUGUCCUUAGUACGAGAGGACCGGGAUGGACGCACCGCUGGUGUACCAGUUGUCUUGCCAAAGGCAUCGCUGGGUAGCUAUGUGCGGAAGGGAUAAGUGCUGAAAGCAUCUAAGCAUGAAGCCCCCCUCGAGAUGAGAUUUCCCAUCACUUUAUGUGAGUAAGAUCCCUGAAAGAUGAUCAGGUAGAUAGGUCAGAGGUGGAAGUGUGGCGACACAUGGAGCUGACUGAUACUAAUCGAUCGAGGACUUAACCAAA